GAUGAACGCUGGCGGCGUGCUUAACACAUGCAAGUCGAACGAAGCAUUUAAGACAGAUUACUUCGGUUUGAAGUCUUUUAUGACUGAGUGGCGGACGGAUGAGUAACGCGUGGGUAACCUGCCUCAUACAGGGGGAUAGCAGCUGGAAACGGCUGGUAAUACCGCAUAAGCGCACAGUACCACAUGGUACAGUGUGAAAAACUCCGGUGGUAUGAGAUGGACCCGCGUCUGAUUAGCUUGUUGGCGGGGUAACGGCCCACCAAGGCGACGAUCAGUAGCCGACCUGAGAGGGUGACCGGCCACAUUGGGACUGAGACACGGCCCAGACUCCUACGGGAAGCAGCAGUGGGGAAUAUUGCACAAUGGAGGAAACUCUGAUGCAGCGACGCCGCGUGAGUGAAGAAGUAGUUCGCUAUGUAAAGCUCUAUCAGCAGGGAAGAUAGUGACGGUACCUGACUAAGAAGCUCCGGCUAAAUACGUG
rnacentral:rRNA from 1 species